UACGUAGGGUGCGAGCGUUAAUCGGAAUUACUGGGCGUAAAGCGUGCGCAGGCGGUUAUGUAAGACAGUUGUGAAAUCCCCGGGCUCAACCUGGGAAUUGCAUCUGUGACUGCAUAGCUAGAGUACGGUAGAGGGGGAUGGAAUUCCGCGUGUAGCAGUGAAAUGCGUAGAUAUGCGGAGGAACACCGAUGGCGAAGGCAGCCUCCUGGGCCAGCACUGACGCUCAUGCACGAAAGCGUGGGGAGCAAACAGG
rnacentral:rRNA from 1 species